UUAACAUUCUGGAGAUUGUGAAAUAUAUUGUACAUUGUCAACUCCCUAAAACCAUAAAACUAACUUUAUGGAGCACACGUGACUUUUGCGAGCCAGUGAGGGGGUCUGAGCCUGAGGUCUGGGCCAUUUGUACCAUGGAACUUCUACAUAAAACCCAAUCCAUUUGACAUGGAAAUGUCAUACCUACUUGGGCUUUACUUUGCCCAAAUCACCAAAGGGGACGGGGAUGCCUUGGCUUCACUCUGCUCUGGGGGGAGCUGUAUUUUAGCCUGAUCGAAUUUUCGUGGCUGCACAGAACAAACAGAAGAAAAGACUUUGCGGAAUGGGGGGGAAAAAAAAUGCAACAAAGUCAUCUGCUUUCCAGAUUAUUCGCCAUAAACCACCCUCCCAAUUCCCAUGCCUGUAACUAAAUAAUCCGCUAGAAACGCAGCAAAACUGGUGUCAUCUCCACAAAGUGUAAAAACCUGGAAUUCAGUGAGUAAUUGCGACUUUGCCACCUCUGUAACAGCAUCAAUUUGUCUGCCCUGCUCUGUGCAACACUUUCAGCUUCCCCCUUGGGUUACAUAAGGGUGCAAAGAAUCCCAAUGAUUGAGAAAAGUUUAUUUUCAUUGCCAAUGUGUUAACCUAUUACAUCAUGGUUUUUAUCAUAAACUGCUCCGACCCUGUGUAAAUAAAUGCUUCUUAACGAG